CCUUCGAUAGCUCAGUUGGUAGAGCGGGGGACUGUAGAUUUAUAAUUGUGAUCCCUAGGUCGCUGGUUCGAAUCCGGCUCGAAUAA
rfam:Nematostella vectensis strain CH2 x CH6 NEMVEscaffold_1023_Cont34558, whole genome shotgun sequence.